rnacentral:rRNA from 1 species
GAUGAACGCUGGCGGCAUGCUUAACACAUGCAAGUCAACUGGAAAGUGGGUGUUUUUGCUUGGAUCUGGGUGGCGGACGGGGGAGGAACGCGUAAAGUACUCGCCUCACAGCUAGGGACAACAUUUAGAAACGAAUGCUAAUACCUGAAAUUAUGAUUAUAAGGCAUCUUAGAAUUAGGAAAGCUAUCUGCGCUGUGGGAGAGCUUUGCGUCCCAUUAGCUUGUUGGAGAGGUAACGGCUUACCAAGGCGGUGAUGGGUAGCCGGCCCGAGAGGGUUGACGGGCAACAUGGGGCCUGGGUCACGGCCCUUACUCUUCCGGGGGGCAGCGUGGGGGAUUUUGGGCCAUGGGCGCAAGCGUCUGAUCCAGCAGUUCUGUGUGCACGAUCACGUUUUUCGGAAUGUAAAGCUCUUGCAGUUGGGAAGAAGAAAAUGACGGUACCAACAGAAGAAGCGACGGCUAACUACGUG